AGAGCGAACGCUGGCGGCAGGCCUAAUACAUGCAAGUCGAACGAACCCUUCGGGGUUAGUGGCGGACGGGUGAGUAACACGUGGGAACGUGCCCUUUGGUUCGGAACAACUCAGGGAAACUUGAGCUAAUACCGGAUGAGCCCUUUGGGGGAAAGAUUUAUCGCCAUUGGAGCGGCCCGCGUCUGAUUAGCUAGUUGGUGAGGUAAAGGCUCACCAAGGCGACGAUCAGUAGCUGGUCUGAGAGGAUGAUCAGCCACACUGGGACUGAGACACGGCCCAGACUCCUACGGGAGGCAGCAGUAGGGAAUCUUGCGCAAUGGGCGAAAGCCUGACGCAGCCAUGCCGCGUGAAUGAUGAAGGUCUUAGGAUUGUAAAAUUCUUUCAGCGGGGACGAUAAUGACGGUACCCGCAGAAGAAGCCCCGGCUAACGUUCGCGCCAGCAGCCGC
rnacentral:rRNA from 1 species